rnacentral:rRNA from 1 species
GAUGAACGCUAGCUACAGGCUUAACACAUGCAAGUCGCGGGGCAGCAUGGGGGUUGCUUGCAAUCCCCGAUGGCGACCGGCGCACGGGUGAGUAACGCGUAUCCAACCUGCCCUUCACCACGGGAUAACCCGGCGAAAGUCGGACUAAUACCGUAUGUUGUCCAUUGACGGCAUCCGAUCUGGACGAAAGGUUUGGCGGCGAAGGAUGGGGAUGCGUCCGAUUAGCUGGACGGCGGGGUGACGGCCCACCGUGGCGACGAUCGGUAGGGGUUCUGAGAGGAAGGUCCCCCACACUGGAACUGAGACACGGUCCAGACUCCUACGGGAGGCAGCAGUGAGGAAUAUUGGUCAAUGGGCGUAAGCCUGAACCAGCCAAGUAGCGUGCAGGAUGACGGCCCUAUGGGUUGUAAACUGCUUUUAUGCGGGGAUAAAGUGGCCCACGUGUGGGUUUUUGCAGGUACCGCAUGAAUAAGGACCGGCUAAUUCCGUG